rnacentral:rRNA from 1 species
UACGUAGGGUGCGAGCGUUAAUCGGAAUUACUGGGCGUAAAGUGUGCGCAGGCGGCGUCGCAAGUCGAGUGUGAAAGCCCCGAGCUUAACUUGGGAAUCGCGCUCGAAACUACGAUGCUGGAGUGUGGCAGAGGAAGGUGGAAUUCCACGUGUAGCGGUGAAAUGCGUAGAUAUCAGGAGGAAUACCGAUGGCGAAGGCAGGUCUCUGGGCUGACACUGACGCUCAUGCACGAAAGCGUGGGGAGCAAACAGG